rnacentral:lncRNA from 1 species
CCUAUCGAUCAGCUUCACCUAUGGUCACCUCCAAGGCUAUGGGGUACCACAAAAAUCCUAUAAAUAGAUCUUGAACUGAGCUAGAUGAUCCGAUCUUUCAAUAUUUACGAGAUGGAGUAUUGCUAACUGAUUGAGACGAAGCCAAGAGGCUAAGGCACCUCGCACCUUAAUACCUCAUAUAUGAUGAGAAGCUAUAUAAAAGAUCCUCCACUCUACCCUUACU